rnacentral:lncRNA from 1 species
UAUCCAGUUUAAUUCACUAAUCACGAGGAAAAGUUCAUAUGCAAGUGUAAUUACGUAUUGUUUUAUGGAUCCAAAAUUGAAUACAGCUUACUUUUUAUGGAUAUAAUAUUGAAUACAGCUUAUGGCAGUGGCAUGUAUGUAAAUAAACAGAUUUAAAUUCAAUAUAUCCUUCAAAUAUUAUGUGCUGUUACUUACUUUGAGCCUAUUGUACUGCUAGAAGAAGAAGAAUGUUUUAGAUUCUUACCCAAAAGCUGUUUAAAAAUUAAAAGAUACCAAAUAUACUUCAGAUUUACAAACAGAUGUUAAGAAAAUUUGUCAACGACCAAAACGUAAAUGAAAAUUUUAGAAGUGUUAAGGCAAUAACUUGAUGAUGUUGAAAAUGAUAGUGUUUACCAGAUUAUUAAUCUUCAUAUUCACGAGAUAAUGAAGCAGCUAGAGUACUUGGUCAUAGUUAUCAAUCAGAUGCAGCGCUAAUACGUGACAAUUUUAGAUAACAGUUUUGAAGACGAUUUUCAGAAAAUAGAAAAAAUAAUUUUGUUUCAAAGCAAGCUAAAACAAGGAUUGAGCAUUCUAUUCUGAGCAUUCCACAGACUUUUAAUUUUAAUUAUUAAUUUUAAUUAUCAAUACUCAACAUCUACAACCAUUUGCUGAUAGAAGUUUUGAAUUUGCUGAUGAGGAUUUUGAACAAAAUUUUGUUCAGGCUGGUUGUUGCUGUUUCUUCCAAACGUGGGACUGCAUCAAUGCUGUGAAAUUUAUGCUAAGGACCAUGUUGACUAAUCAAGAUUUAAGAAAUUGAACUGGACAGGACAACCCCUAAACACCAAAUUCGGGAAUGCAAAUGCCAUGGAGUUUUAAGUAUGUAUUUAUAAUAUUCUAAGAGUCUAAAUAAUUCUUGUAUCCUAAGCGGAAUCUCCAUCGGAUGAAUCGGAAUUCCAAAUGAAUAUUUGAUGUUUUUUUACACAAAUAUUUAAAUAUAUAAGUUAGGUAAGACUAACUUUAAGGGGAAAGAAUUUUUUUUUUAAUUCUUAUUUCCUUAAAGAUUAACAGCAACUUAGAUUUCGACUGAAAAAGGAAGUGGAGGACAUGAAUAAAAAACCUAUGUUUAAAUGGCCAGCAGUGGAAAGCCAAUGCUGCAUUCCAGAUGACAUCGUUUGCAAGCUUGAAGUAAUGACUACAAAAACAGGAUGUGGCUACUAUUUAGAUGACAAAGACGACUUUAACAAAUUUAUUUUCUGAAGGAAAUAGAGAUUUUUAUAUUUAAACUAUUCAACUUCAUGAAAAUUCGGAUUUAGUAGGUUUUAAACUCUUUCGGUACCAAAUUUCAGCAUCAUUACAAGCACCCUAUAAGACGCUAUAGCAAGGAAUAUUUCUACACGCAGCUGUACGAGUGAACUUUGUGAGUGUGAUAUUCAAAAAUAAAUCUUUCACUAUAUUCAUGGGUCAAUUGAUAAAGAUGGUGGUCGUAUGGUGAACGGAUGGUGGUCGAUGGUUGAUAAAGAUGGUGGUCGUAAAGAACGAAAAGAAAGGAAGAAACUAACAAACAACGCUGAUUAGCAAUAAUACGGAUAAUGAAUCACCUUCUUCAAACGAAUAAUAAUCUUUUAAAAAUUUAUUUUUUGGUUGAAAAAAUUGUUAAAUAAGUUUAAAAAAUCUCUUGUUU